rnacentral:rRNA from 1 species
AAUUCGCCCUUAGAGUUUGAUCCUGGCUCAGAUUGAACGCUGGCGGCAUGCCUUACACAUGCAAGUCGAACGGUAACGCGGGGCAACCUGGCGACGAGUGGCGAACGGGUGAGUAAUAUAUCGGAACGUGCCCAGUCGUGGGGGAUAACUGCUCGAAAGAGCAGCUAAUACCGCACACGACCUGAGGGUGAAAGCGGGGGAUCUUCGGACCUCGCGCGAUUGGAGCGGCCGAUAUCAGAUUAGGUAGUUGGUGGGGUAAAGGCCUACCAAGCCGACGAUCUGUAGCUGGUCUGAGAGGACGACCAGCCACACUGGGACUGAGACACGGCCCAGACUCCUACGGGAGGCAGCAGUGGGGAAUUUUGGACAAUGGGGGCAACCCUGAUCCAGCCAUGCCGCGUGCGGGAAGAAGGCCUUCGGGUUGUAAACCGCUUUUGUCAGGGAAGAAAUCCUUUGGGCUAAUAACUCGGAGGGAUGACGU